UUUAUGGAGAGUUUGAUCCUGGCUCAGGAUGAACGCUGGCGGCGUGCCUAAUACAUGCAAGUCGAGCGAACGGACGAGAAGCUUGCUUCUCUGAUGUUAGCGGCGGACGGGUGAGUAACACGUGGAUAACCUACCUAUAAGACUGGGAUAACUUCGGGAAACCGGAGCUAAUACCGGAUAAUAUUUUGAACCGCAUGGUUCAAAAGUGAAAGACGGUCUUGCUGUCACUUAUAGAUGGAUCCGCGCUGCAUUAGCUAGUUGGUAAGGUAACGGCUUACCAAGGCAACGAUGCAUAGCCGACCUGAGAGGGUGAUCGGCCACACUGGAACUGAGACACGGUCCAGACUCCUACGGGAGGCAGCAGUAGGGAAUCUUCCGCAAUGGGCGAAAGCCUGACGGAGCAACGCCGCGUGAGUGAUGAAGGUCUUCGGAUCGUAAAACUCUGUUAUUAGGGAAGAACAUAUGUGUAAGUAACUGUGCACAUCUUGACGGUACCUAAUCAGAAAGCCACGGCUAACUACGUGCCAGCAGCCGCGGUAAUACGUAGGUGGCAAGCGUUAUCCGGAAUUAUUGGGCGUAAAGCGCGCGUAGGCGGUUUUUUAAGUCUGAUGUGAAAGCCCACGGCUCAACCGUGGAGGGUCAUUGGAAACUGGAAAACUUGAGUGCAGAAGAGGAAAGUGGAAUUCCAUGUGUAGCGGUGAAAUGCGCAGAGAUAUGGAGGAACACCAGUGGCGAAGGCGACUUUCUGGUCUGUAACUGACGCUGAUGUGCGAAAGCGUGGGGAUCAAACAGGAUUAGAUACCCUGGUAGUCCACGCCGUAAACGAUGAGUGCUAAGUGUUAGGGGGGUUUCCGCCCCUUAGUGCUGCAGCUAACGCAUUAAGCACUCCGCCUGGGGAGUACGACCGCAAGGUUGAAACUCAAAGGAAUUGACGGGGACCCGCACAAGCGGUGGAGCAUGUGGUUUAAUUCGAAGCAACGCGAAGAACCUUACCAAAUCUUGACAUCCUUUGACAACUCUAGAGAUAGAGCCUUCCCCUUCGGGGGACAAAGUGACAGGUGGUGCAUGGUUGUCGUCAGCUCGUGUCGUGAGAUGUUGGGUUAAGUCCCGCAACGAGCGCAACCCUUAAGCUUAGUUGCCAUCAUUAAGUUGGGCACUCUAAGUUGACUGCCGGUGACAAACCGGAGGAAGGUGGGGAUGACGUCAAAUCAUCAUGCCCCUUAUGAUUUGGGCUACACACGUGCUACAAUGGACAAUACAAAGGGCAGCGAAACCGCGAGGUCAAGCAAAUCCCAUAAAGUUGUUCUCAGUUCGGAUUGUAGUCUGCAACUCGACUACAUGAAGCUGGAAUCGCUAGUAAUCGUAGAUCAGCAUGCUACGGUGAAUACGUUCCCGGGUCUUGUACACACCGCCCGUCACACCACGAGAGUUUGUAACACCCGAAGCCGGUGGAGUAACCUUUUAGGAGCUAGCCGUCGAAGGUGGGACAAAUGAUUGGGGUGAAGUCGUAACAAGGUAGCCGUAUCGGAAGGUGCGGCUGGAUCACCUCCUUUCU
rnacentral:rRNA from 1 species